rnacentral:rRNA from 1 species
GAUGAACGCUGGCGGCGUGCCUAAUACAUGCAAGUCGAGCGAACAGACGAGGAGCUUGCUCCUCUGACGUUAGCGGCGGACGGGUGAGUAACACGUGUAUAACCUACCUAUAAGACUGGGAUAACUUCGGGACACCGGAUCUAAUACCGGAUAAUAUAUUGAACCGCAUGGUUCAAUAGUCAAAUACGGUUUUGCUGUCACUUAUAGAUGGAUCGGCGCCGCAUUAGCUAGUUGGUAAGGUAACGGCUUACCAAGGCGACGAUGCGUAGCCGACCUGAUAGGGUGAUAGGCGACACUGGAGCUGAGACACGGUCAAGACUACUGCGGGACGCAGCAGAAGGGAAUGUGACGCAAAGGUCGAAAGCCUGACGGAGCAAGGCCGAGUGAGUGAUGGAGGUCUCCGGAUCGUAAAACUCUGUUAUUAGGGAAGAACAAAUGUGUAAGGAAACAAGCACGUAUUGACGGUACUUAGUAAGAAAGCCACGGCUAACUACGUG